rnacentral:rRNA from 1 species
UACGUAGGGUGCAAGCGUUGUCCGGAAUCAUUGGGCGUAAAGAGCGUGUAGGCGGCCCGAUAAGUCCGCCGUGAAAGUCCAGGGCUCAACCCUGGGAUGCCGGUGGAAACUGUCGGGCUAGAGUCCGGAAGAGGCGAGUGGAAUUCCUGGUGUAGCGGUGAAAUGCGCAGAUAUCAGGAGGAACACCAAUGGCGAAGGCAGCUCGCUGGGACGGUACUGACGCUGAGACGCGAAAGCGUGGGGAGCAAACAGG